GACGAACGCUGGCGGCGUGCUUAACACAUGCAAGUCGAACGGCGUGGCGAACGGGUGAGUAACACGGGGGUGAGCUGCGCUGUACUUCGGGAUAAGCCGGGGAAACUGGGUCUAAUACCGGAUAGUGUGGGAUGGGCCCGGGGCCUAUCAGCAUGUUGGUGGGGUAAUGGCCUACCAAGGCGGCGACGGGUAACCGGCCUGAGAGGGGGGACGGCCACAUUGGGACUGAGAGACGGCCCAGACUCCUACGGGAGGCAGCAGUGGGGAAUAUGGCACAAUGGGCGGAAGCCUGAUGCAGCGACGCCGCGUGGGGGAUGACGGCUUUCGGGUUGUAAACGCCUUUAACCAUCGACGCGGUAGCUGGAGAAGAAGCACCGGCUAACUACGUGCCAGCAGCCGCGGUAAUAC
rnacentral:rRNA from 1 species